GGCCCUGUAGCUCAAUCGGGAGAGCACCGCCCUGUCGAGGCGGGGGUAGCCGGAUCAAAACCGGUCAGGGUCGCGA
rnacentral:tRNA from 1 species